rnacentral:siRNA from 1 species
UGGUGCAGAUUAUGUUCAGGAGAC